rnacentral:rRNA from 1 species
UACGUAGGGUGCGAGCGUUAAUCGGAAUUACUGGGCGUAAAGCGUGCGCAGGCGGUUUUAUAAGCCAGAUGUGAAAUCCCCGGGCUUAACCUGGGAAUGGCAUUUGGGACUGCAAGGCUUGAGUGCGGCAGAGGAGACUGGAAUUCCUGGUGUAGCAGUGAAAUGCGUAGAUAUCAGGAGGAACACCGGUGGCGAAGGCGGGUCUCUGGGCCGAUAUUGACGCUGAGGAGCGAAAGCGUGGGGAGCAAACAGG